UAAUACGGGGGGGGCAAGCGUUGUUCGGAAUUACUGGGCGUAAAGAGCUCGUAGGCGGCUUGUUUAGUCGGACGUGAAAUCCCUUGGCUCAACUGAGGAACUGCGUCCGAUACUGGCAGGCUUGAAUCCGGGAGAGGGAUGCGGAAUUCCAGGUGUAGCGGUGAAAUGCGUAGAUAUCUGGAGGAACACCGGUGGCGAAGGCGGCAUCCUGGACCGGCAUUGACGCUGAGGAGCGAAAGCUAGGGUAGCAAACGGGAUUAGAUACCCCGGUAGUCCUAGCCCUAAACGAUGAAUGCUUGGUGUGGCGGGUAUCGAUCCCUGCUGUGCCGAAGCUAACGCAUUAAGCAUUCCGCCUGGGGAGUACGGUCGCAAGGCUG
rnacentral:rRNA from 1 species